rnacentral:rRNA from 1 species
GAUGAACGCUGGCGGCGUGCCUAAUACAUGCAAGUCGAGCGAACGGACGAGAAGCUUGCUUCUCUGAUGUUAGCGGCGGACGGGUGAGUAACACGUGGAUAACCUACCUAUAAGACUGGGAUAACUUCGGGAAACCGGAGCUAAUACCGGAUAAUAUUUUGAACCGCAUGGUUCAAAAGUGAAAGACGGUCUUGCUGUCACUUAUAGAUGGAUCCGCGCUGCAUUAGAUAGUUGGUAAGGUCACGGCUUACCAAGGCGACGAUGCGUAGCCGACCUGAGAGGGGGACCGGCACCAGGGGGACUGAGGGACGGACGCGACUCCUACGGGAGGCAGCGGUGGGGACUAGUGCACAGUGGGCGGAAGCCUGAGAAAGAAACGCAGCGUGGGGGAUGACGGCCGUCGGGUGGGAAACCGAUUGCGCCUGUGAAGAAGCGUGAGUGACGGGAAUGGGUGAAGAAGCACCGGCUAACUACGUG